CGCGAAUGGCUCAUUAAAACAGCUAUAAUUCACUUGACCUGGACACAAUCCUACUUGGAUAACUGUGGUAAUUCUAGAGCUAAUACAUGCAUUAAAGCUCUGACCUCACGGGAAGAGUGCAUUUAUUAGAACAAAACCAAACGGCUUCGGCUGUUUUCGGUUGACUCAUAAUAACUGAGCUGAUCGCAUGGUCUUGCACCGGCGACGUGUCUUUCAAGUAUCUGCCGUAUCAACUUUCGAUGGUAGUGUAUCUGACUACCAUGGUGAUCACGCGUAACGGAGAAUAAGGGUUCGACUCCGGGGAGUUCGCCUGAGAAAUCGCGAACACAUCUAAGGAAGGCAGCAGGCGCGAAAAUUACCCACUCUCAGCACGAGGAGGUAGUGACGAAAAAUAACGAGACCGUUCUCCUUCGAGGCCGGUCAUUGGAAUGGGUACAAUUUAAACCCUUUAACGAGUAUCUAUGAGAGGGAAAGUCUGGUGCCAGCAGCCGCGGUAAUUCCAGCU
rnacentral:rRNA from 1 species